rnacentral:rRNA from 1 species
UAGGGAAUCUUCGGCAAUGGACGGAAGUCUGACCGAGCAACGCCGCGUGAGUGAAGAAGGUUUUCGGAUCGUAAAGCUCUGUUGUAAGAGAAGAACGAGUGUGAGAGUGGAAAGUUCACACUGUGACGGUAUCUUACCAGAAAGGGACGGCUAACUACGUGCCAGCAGCCGCGGUAAUACGUAGGUCCCGAGCGUUGUCCGGAUUUAUUGGGCGUAAAGCGAGCGCAGGCGGUUAGAUAAGUCUGAAGUUAAAGGCUGUGGCUUAACCAUAGUAGGCUUUGGAAACUGUUUAACUUGAGUGCAAGAGGGGAGAGUGGAACUCCAUGUGUAGCGGUGAAAUGCGUAGAUAUAUGGAGGAACACCGGUGGCGAAAGCGGCUCUCUGGCUUGUAACUGACGCUGAGGCUCGAAAGCGUGGGGAGCAAACAGGAUUAGAUACCCUGGUAGUCCACGCUGUAAACGAUGAGUGCUAGGUGUUAGACCCUUUCCGGGGUUUAGUGCCGUAGCUAACGCAUUAAGCACUCCGCCUGGGGAGUACGACCGCAAGGUU